rnacentral:lncRNA from 1 species
GUCUUGAUGAGAAACUUGUUGACACCGGUCUUACGAAGUUUCUUGGCCUCUGCCCUUCAGCCUUGUCUCGGUACUUGGAGAUUGCCUCUGCAUGCUCCACCUCCUCGGCCCCUUUCAUGACCAAGCGCUCUCCCUCCAUGAGAGCAAGGGAUCAAUGACUUGCACGGAAGUCCCGCCUCUGCGGUACCAUGGCGCUGCAAUGCCCAUGGCCCUACUAUCCGUCGCCUCGCAUCUGCAUCCCUUUUGAUCAGUAGACAUGUCUCCGUGGCCCUCCUCUGAGUCCACCUCCAUUCUAAAUGAUGCUUGAUUUUGGGUAGCUAAGUCCCUCUGGACUCGUCGUCGCUUCCUUGCCCCUUUCGACCCCCUGCUUCAACACCUCUGUGUUCUCCAAGCAGCUCCUUCUGGUCGAUGGAAAGACAGACUGCACUCCCAUGCAUGGCCUCUGCCAUCGCAUUGUAGGGUUUGCACCAAUUCUGUUCUCCUUAGCUUCCUUGGUAGCAACGUUCGCUUACUCGGCCUUGUCCUCUGACUUGCCGGGCUCCCUUAAGCGAAUAUGAGCUCUGGAGCAGUCCAACUCUCCAGCUGCUUCGAUCAUACCUCUGCAUGAUCAAGUCCCUCCCAUGGAACUCACUGGUACUUGCAUUCGAACUUUUCCCUUGGUGGAACCCAGCCACUAUAUGCUGAUGACUAAGGUUUUCAUCCGAUGCAAAAUUCGGUGCACGCCCGGAAGACCCGCCUCUGCGGUACCAUGGCCUUCACUCCUUGAAUCCAUAGCCCUUCUUGCCGUCGUGUUGUUCACCAAAGCGGAGCUCCCAGUAGCUCCCGAUCAUACCUCCAUAUGAUCUCAUCCCUCACGGGACACACUGGUGUGUAUCGCAUUGCCACGAACUAUUCCACCACGAUCCGCUACACCAUGUCGCCUCCUGGUGACAUCUCCAUUGCAUUCUGAUCCUUGGGGAAUAAACUCGAAUUGUGAACCCUCCAUGUGUGGCCUCUACCAAUACAUCGCAGGGUCUCUUCCACCUUCGAUUUUGUUUGCUCCUUUGGCAAUCGAUCUUCAUCCACCCACUCUUGGGUCACCCCUAGAUGAAGCACCGCUCUAGGACAGUCCGUCGCCUAGUAGCUCCCGAAGUCCGCCGACUUCGCUGUAAUUUGUGCACCAUUGCCUGGAUCCUGGGCCUCUGCCCCUACCAGCACAAUCUCUACUGCGCACCGCUUCCUUCCUAGCAACUCGAAUGGCAACACUGUGGCAUAUUCUUCAAGAGUACCCGCCUCUGCGUCCUCUUGCCCCGUGCUAAGGCCUUCUGAACUCAACUUCGCCUCCGCAAAUUGAGUCGCCUUAGUUCCUUCAUCAAAUGCUCCUCCGAGAUAAGGUGCAUGUGCCCCGAAGCUCCCUUCGUCUUUGGCACCAUGUAAGAUGAGUCCGCUCCGUCAGAAUGAAAGACCCAUGGAACAACAUGAUCCCACUCUUGCCUCUGCAAGUGUUCAUGUCCUUGACCCCUGUCUAAGGAAAGCACUGUGCCUCUGCUCCAUGUUCCAACUUCUCUGCUGGCUCCCUUCAUGCGGCUUGGGUACUUCGCCAAGUUACACCCAAGUUGCUCCGCUCCUCGUUUUCGCAUUGAGUCGAUGGUGGCCCUCGUGCCCACCAUUCCACGGGUCAGCCCUCCCUUGAGUCCGAUCUCAUAUCGACUCCAAGUGUGCCUUCAUCUGUGUUGCUCCCCCACUUGAUCUCGCAAUGCAUCCACCAAUGCAUUCUCUCAAGCGAGAUCAUGCGAUGACUCCUCGCCGCUUGCUCAGUCCAUCGAGCUUCGUGGAGUUGUUCUUUAUUGAGGUACUCCUCCUCAACAUGUGAAGUCCGUCUCAUAUGAUUCUCCCUCUGGAGAGCUGAGACUUAUCCCUCCUGGAUAACUGUCCCAUUGGAGCAACAUCUCUCUUCGUUUCGAAGACCACCAUCCCCN